rnacentral:rRNA from 1 species
AACGUAGGUGGCGAGCGUUAUCCGGAUUCAUUGGGCGUAAAGAGCUUGUAGGUGGCGGCGUAAGUUGGACGUGAAAUCGCCCGGCUCAACCGGGCGGGGUCGUUCAAUACUGCGCGGCUGGAGGAGGUCAGAGGGAAGUGGAAUUCCUGGUGUAGCAGUGAAAUGCGUAGAUAUCAGGAGGAACACCCGUGGCGAAGGCGGCU